UACGAAGGGGGCUAGCGUUGCUCGGAAUCACUGGGCGUAAAGGGUGCGUAGGCGGGUCUUUAAGUCAGGGGUGAAAUCCUGGAGCUCAACUCCAGAACUGCCUUUGAUACUGAAGAUCUUGAGUCCGGGAGAGGUGAGUGGAACUGCGAGUGUAGAGGUGAAAUUCGUAGAUAUUCGCAAGAACACCAGUGGCGAAGGCGGCUCUUUGGCCUGUAACUGACACUGAGGCGCGAAAGCGUGGGGAGCAAACAGG
rnacentral:rRNA from 1 species